rnacentral:rRNA from 1 species
AUUGAACGCUGGCGGCAGGCCUAACACAUGCAAGUCGAACGAGUGGCGGACGGGUGAGUAAUGUCUGGGAAACUGCCUGAUGGACGGGGCUAACUGCUGGAAACCGUAGCUAAUACCGCAUACCAUCAGAUGUGCCCAGAUGGGAUUAGCUGGUUGGUGGGGUAACGGCUCACAAAGGCGACGAUCCCUAGCUGGUCUGAGAGGAUGACAGGCCACACUGGAACUGAGACACGGUCCAGACUCCUACGGGAGGCAGCAGUGGGGAAUAUUGCACAAUGGGCGCAAGCCUGAUGCAGCCAUGCCGCGUGUAUGAAGAAGGCUUUCGGGUUGUAAAGUACUGUCAGCAGGGAGGCGUUACCCGCAGAAGAAGCACCGGCUAACUCCGUGCCAGCAGCCGCGGUAAUAC